UGAAUACGAGACGCUAAGGCGUCGAAGUAGUGUAUGUCAUACUUCCAAGAAAAGCUUGCACUGUCAUAGAUAAAAAACGCCUGUACCAUAACCGACACAGGUGGGUAGGUAGAGUAUACUAAGGGGCGCGAGAUAACUCUCUCUAAGGAACUCGGCAAAAUAACUCCGUAACUUCGGGAGAAGGAGUGCCUUAUUCGUAAGGUUGCAAUAACAAGAUCCAAGCAACUGUUUAUCAAAAACACAGGUCUCCGCUAAGUCGUAAGACGAUGUAUGGGGGCUGACGCCUGCCCAGUGCCAGAAGGUUAAAGAAGUUGGUUAGCAAUUGCGAAGCUGAUAACUGAAGCCCUGGUGAACGGCGGCCGUAACGAUAACGGUCCUAAGGUAGCGAAAUUCCCUGUCGGGUAAGUUCCGACCCGCACGAAAGGCGUAAUGAUUUGGAUACUGUCUCGGAGAGGGGCUCGGUGAAAUAGACUUGUCUGUGAAGAUGCGGACUACCUGCACCAGGACAGAAAGACCCUAUGAAGCUUUACUGUAACUUGAAAUUGAAAUUGGACUUUAUUCGCGCAGCAUAGGUGGGAGGCGUUGAUUAUAAUCUUGCGGGAUUAUUGGAGCCAUCAGUGAGAUACCACUCUUGUAAUGUUAGAUUUCUAACUUUGAAUCAUUAUCUGGUCAAAGAACAGUUUCAGGCGGGCAGUUUGACUGGGGCGGUCGCCUCCUAAACGGUAACGGAGGCGUACAAAGGUUUCCUCUGAACGGUUAGAAAUCGUAUCUAGAGUGUAAAGGCAUAAGGAAGCUUGACUGUGAGACCUACAAGUCGAGCAGGGACGAAAGUCGGUCUUAGUGAUCUGACGGUACUGAGUGGAAAGGCCGUCACUCAACGGAUAAAAGUUACUCUAGGAUAACAGGCUGAUCUCCCCCAAGAGUUCACAUCGACGGGGAGGUUUGGCACCUCGAUGUCGGCUCAUCGCAUCCUGGGGCGGUAGUACGUCCCAAGGGUUGGGCUGUUCGCCCAUGAAAGCGGUACGCGAGCUGGGUUCAGAACGUCGUGAGACAGUUCGGUCCAUAUCCGGUGUAGGCGUUAGAAUAUUGAGAGGAGCCUUCUUUAGUACGAGAGGACCGAGAAGGACAUACCUCUGGUGUACCAGUUAUCGUGCCAACGGUAAACGCUGGGUAGCUAUGUAUGGAGUGGAUAACCGCUGAAAGCAUCUAAGUGGGAAGCCCACCUCAAGAUAAGUAUUCUCACC
rnacentral:rRNA from 1 species